rnacentral:rRNA from 1 species
GGGGGAUAUUGCACAAUGGAGGAAACUCUGAUGCAGCAACGCCGCGUGAAGGAAGACGGUCUUCGGAUUGUAAACUCUUGUACUUGGGGACGAUAAUGACGGUACCCAAGCAGCAAGCUCCGGCUAACUACGUGCCAGCAGCCGCGGUAAUACGUAGGGAGCGAGCGUUGUCCGGAUUUACUGGGUGUAAAGGGUGCGUAGGCGGCUUGGCAAGUCAGUUGUGAAAACUAUGGGCUCAACCCAUAGCCUGCAAUUGAAACUGUUGAGCUUGAGUGAAGUAGAGGUAGGUGGAAUUCCCGGUGUAGCGGUGAAAUGCGUAGAGAUCGGGAGGAACACCAGUGGCGAAGGCGACCUACUGGGCUUUAACUGACGCUGAGGCACGAAAGCAUGGGUAGCAAACA